UACUGACUGGCGCCAAGUCUGUACCUGGGAAAUCAGAUUUACUGAAGGGAAAACUAUGGAAUCUACAUGUCAAAUUUCAGAAAUCUGCCAAGGCCACGGGUUCUGAGUUGACGGAAACACACUUUGAGACAAGGAUAAAAACCAUUUGUAAAAAUUCAGGGUGUUUGAAAGAAUUCGAGGACAUCAGUGGAAGCAAAAAGAAGUGUCCUGAAGGCUGGAAAAGGUUUGAUGAUAACUGCUACAAGCUCCUGACUAAGAGUGCCUCUUGGUCUAUA